CUAGCCUUGAGCUCACAGCAAUCCUCCUGCCUCAGUCUCCCGAGUACAGGAAUGACAGGAGGACCCCAGGAGGGGCUGGGCAGGGUCUCUGGGGCCCGGGCUUUUUAUCUCUCGGUGGCAGUGAACCUGCGGUGGCUGCAUGGCUGUGGACGGAAGCAGAGCCUGCCUUUCCUGGCUGCCACGGUAACUCGGCUCUGUUUGCCCAGAAGCUGAAGGAUCCUACCUUACAGUGACUGCAGGCCCUGGAGGACGCAGAUAAGGCCAGCGGCUUUGUGAGGAGCCCACAGGUCCCCCAGCUGCUGCCACCAGGAGAAAGAACUCCGUGCUUGGAACAGGAGUGUUUUGUUUUCCUAGAUUCCUGGAGGCACUGCCGAGAACAAUGCAGCCAGCCCUGGUGUCCCGCGGCUGCCGGCUCUCCCUGCCCGUGGAGCCUGACGUGGAUGUGGCCGAGCCUGGGGCCUGCGAUGGACCGCUCAGUGAACAGUUAGCUUAUUAAUCAGACAUCGGGCUUGGUCACAGGGAUGGCCACCUGCCCACCCCGUAUGGCUCCUCGGAAGGGAGGAGUGACGACUCCCACUUCCUAGGCUGUGGGGAGGAUGUGGGGCGGAGACCCGGCUAGUGGAUGGCUGUGCCCUACUGCGACACACCCGUGUCCACCCGGAUCCAAGCUCACCGGAAGCCACCUGCUCCAGCCUCGCCUGCCUUCCUGUUCCUCACCUUCCAACCCCUGGCUCACCCAUCCUGGCUGCCUGGCCUCGGAGCUCACCGCAGGCCCUUUGCUUGGCCGGGGCCUCCACCUACUGUGUCCUUCCCUGCCUGGCUUGCCCAGUUGUCUCUGGGCUUCACCGCAUGUCCUCAGAGAGGUCAGUCUGCUCCUGAGUGACACGCGUGUCCCCUGCUCCUCUCGCCUGCCUGGACUCUUCCUGUUUUAUCUUAUGGUGCCGGCAGGCCUCCACCUAUGUCCUCAGGGAUCCCUCAUAGAAACCUGAUGGAACAAAGGAUUUAUUUUUAUGAGUUAAACCUGGGUCGCGGGAGCUGUUUGCUCACUGCCUGUGAAAUGUGGACGUCGUGACUU
ensembl:lncRNA